rnacentral:rRNA from 1 species
AUUGAACGCUGGCGGCGGGCUUAACACAUGCAAGUCGAGCGGGGUGAUGGUGCUUGCACUAUCACUUAGCGGCGGACGGGUGAGUAAUGCUUAGGAAUCUGCCUAUUAGUGGGGGACAACAUCUCGAAAGGGAUGCUAAUACCGCAUACGUCCUACGGGAGAAAGCAGGGGAUCACUUGUGACCUUGCGCUAAUAGAUGAGCCUAAGUCGGAUUAGCUAGUUGGUGGGGUAAAGGCCUACCAAGGCGACGAUCUGUAGCGGGUCUGAGAGGAUGCUCCGCCACACUGGGACUGAGACACGGCCCAGACUCCUACGGGAGGCAGCAGUGGGGAAUAUUGGACAAUGGGGGAAACCCUGAUCCAGCCAUGCCGCGUGUGUGAAGAAGGCCUUAUGGUUGUAAAGCACUUUAAGCGAGGAGGAGGCUACUGAGACUAAUACUCUUGGAUAGUGGACGUUACUCGCAGAAUAAGCACCGGCUAACUCUGUGCCAGCCGCCGCCGUAA